UUGGAGGGCAAGUCUGGUGCCAGCAGCCGCGGUAAUUCCAGCUCCAAUAGCGUAUAUUAAAGUUGUUGCAGCUAAAAAGCUCGUAGUUGAAUUUCGGGGUUAGUAGGUUGGUCAUGCCUCUGGUAUGUACUGGUCUCACUGAUUCCUCCUUCCUGAUGAGCCGUAAUGCCAUUAAUUUGGUGUUGCGGGGAAUUUGGACUGUUACUUUGAAAAAAUUAGAGUGUUUAAAGCAAGCUAACGCUUGAAUACAUUAGCAUGGAAUAAUGAAAUAGGACGUUCGAUCCUAUUUUGUUGGUUUCUAGGAUUGACGUAAUGAUUAAUAGGGAUAGUUGGGGGCAUUAGUAUUCAAUUGUCAGAGGUGAAAUUCUUGGAUUUAUUGAAGACUAACUACUGCGAAAGCAUUUGCCAAGGAUGUUUUCAUUAAUCAAGAACGAAAGUUAGGGGAUCGAAGACGAUCAGAUACCGUCGUAGUCUUAACCAUAAACUAUGCCGACUAGGGAUCGGAUGAUGUUAAUUUUUUAAUGACUCAUUCGGCGCCUUACGGGAAAC
rnacentral:rRNA from 1 species